UGGGGAAUAUUGCACAAUGGAGGGAACUCUGAUGCAGCGACGCCUCGUGAACGAAGAAGGCUUUCGAGUCGUAAAGUUCUUUUAUAUGGGAAGAUAAUGACGGUACCAUAAGAAAAAGCCCCGGCUAACUACGUGCCAGCAGCCGCGGUAAUACGUAGGGGGCUAGCGUUGUCCGGAAUCACUGGGCGUAAAGGGUUCGCAGGCGGAAAUGCAAGUAAGGUGUAAAAGGCAGUAGCUUAACUACUGUAAGCAUUUGAAACUGCAUAUCUUGAGAAGAGUAGAGGUAAGUGGAAUUUUUAGUGUAGCGGUGAAAUGCGUAGAUAUUAAAAAGAAUACCGGUGGCGAAGGCGACUUACUGGGCUCAUUCUGACGCUGAGGAACGAAAGCGUGGGUAGCAAACAGG
rnacentral:rRNA from 1 species